ACACCUCAACUCUUCAUGGUUUUCCAUGAUGAGCUUGGACUUUGGGGGUCUUGCUGGCCUGCGGUCGGCUCCUCUCAAAUGAAUCAGCUUGCCAGUGUUUGGUGGGCAUCACAGGUGUGAUAACUAUCUACGCUUGUGGUUCCCACCAGGUAACCUUCAGUAGAAUGGGGGUUCGCUGGAGCUCAUAAAUGUCUCUCCUCAGCGAGGACAGCCCUUUGAAU
rnacentral:misc_RNA from 1 species